GUUUGAUCCUGGCUCAGGACGAACGCUGGCGGCGUGCUUAACACAUGCAAGUCAAGGGGGCCCGCAAGGGCAACCGGCGAACGGGUGCGUAACACGUGAGCAACCUGCCGAAUGCGUGGGGGAUAGCCGGCCCAACGGCCGGGUAAUACCGCAUACGUUCCUCUGGGGGAGUCCCUGGGGGAGGAAAGCUGUGGCGUAAGCCAUGGCGCGCGUCGAGGGGCUCGCGGCUUAUCAGCUAGUUGGUGCGGGUAACGGCCCACCAAGGCGACGACGAGUAGCUGGUCUGAGAGGAUGGCCAGCCACAUUGGGACUGAGAGACGGCCCAGACUCCUACGGGAGGCAGCAGUGGGGAAUCUUGCGCAAUGGCCGAAAGGCUGACGCAGCGACGCCGCGUGGGGGAUGACGCAUUUCGGUGUGUAAACCCCUGUUGCCCCGGGACGAACACCUCCUUCUGGGGAGGCUGACGGUACCGGGUGAGGAAGCACCGGCUAACUCCGUGCCAGCAGCCGCGGUAAUACGGAGGGUGCGAGCGUUGUCCGGAAUCACUGGGCGUAAAGGGCGCGUAGGUGGCUACUUAAGCGUGUGGUGAAAGUCCGGGGCUCAACCCCGGAUCGGCCGUGCGAACUGAGUGGCUUGAGCACUGUAGAGGGCAGGGUGGAAAUUUCCGGGGUGUAAGCCGGGUGGGAAAUGGCGUAAGAAGAUUCCGGGAAAGAAAACACCCCGGGUGGGCGAAGGGCGGCCUGCUGGGCAGUGGCUGACACUGAGGCGCGACAGCGUGGGGAGCAAACAGGAUUAGAUACCCUGGUAGUCCACGCCGUAAACGAUGGGCACUAGGUGCCUGGGGGAGCGACCCCCUGGGUGCCGUCGCUAACGCAUUAAGUGCCCCGCCUGGGGAGUACGGCCGCAAGGCUGAAACUCAAAGGAAUUGACG
rnacentral:rRNA from 1 species